rnacentral:rRNA from 1 species
AUGCUCGACCGGUCCCUCCGGCCGGCGGAGGCCGGCGCCGGCGCCGCCGGCCCAGGCGAGGUCCGCGGGAACGUGGAUCGGGUCCUCUUCAAGGACCUGGUCGACAUGGUGCCGCUCGUCGAGUCCCUCAUGGAUCGGAGGACGAACCCGUCGUACUCGCGGCGCGCCUCGCUGGUGUACACGCCGGCGCCGGCCAAGAAGGGUGGUGAUUUGAAAAGCGCAAAGACAUCACAAACUGUGUCGGCAAAAAUGCGGAGGGAUCCUGGAGACACAGGAAAUAAGAGUACACCUGAUUCAAAUGGAGACAACGGCUCGGUUGCCCCGAUGACUCAAUUGGGGGCAGAAAAUAAACCCAAAGACAAGGAUGAGAUCGGUUUGCUGCGUGAGCAGGUCGAUGAGCUCCAAAAGCAACUUGUCGAAAAAGAGGACGCUUUGAGGUCGGCUGAGAGUACUGUGAGUGAGAUGAAUGCGGUAUAUUCGACAGUUGAUGGGUUGAAACGCCAAGUUGCCGAGAAAGAAGCUUUAAUCAAGUAUGCAAAUUCUCAGUUACAAAAUGCAAAGAUUAUGCUUGCAGACAAGCAAGCAUCUUUAGAAAAAUUGGAAUGGGAGGUAAAGACCUCAAAUAAGAAGGUGGAAGAUCUUCAAGGGGAUGUCUCCAGUAUGGAGUUUGAGAUAAGUUCAUUCGUGACAUUAUUCGAGAAAAUCUCGGAGAAUGUUUCAGAUGAUUGUCACGAUGGUAGCAUACCAUCUUAUGAUCUAGAGGCACUUCAAUCAGUGAGUGAAAUCGACAAGAUUGAAGUGGACAAGAUAGAGCAGGAAAGAGUUACAUAUGCUGAAGCUCUUGCUGCUGCAAGAGCAAACCCUAACGAAGAACAGUUGAGUUCAGUUGCGGAGGCGCGGUCAAGGCUGCAGGUCCUUGUUGUACAAUAA